rnacentral:rRNA from 1 species
UUGACCUCGGAUCAGGUAGGGAUACCCGCUGAACUUAAGCAUAUCAAUAAGCGGAGGAAAAGAAACCAACAGGGAUUGCCUCAGUAACGGCGAGUGAAGCGGCAACAGCUCAAAUUUGAAAUCUGGCUCUUUCAGGGUCCGAGUUGUAAUUUGUAGAAAUGCUUUGGGUGUGGCUCCGGUCUAAGUUCCUGGAACAGGACGUCAUAGAGGUGAGAAUCCCGUAUGUGACUGGCUGCCUCCCCUAUUUAA